GCGGCCGUGACCCUGCUGGAGUGCGGGGGGGACCUCCAGCCCCCCGGGGGGUCCCUGCGCCUCCUGUGCCGAGGGUCCAGGUUCACUUUUUUCCAAUUUGGGGUGGGCUGGAUCCGCCAGAGACCUGGGCAGGGGCUGGAGUGGCUCGCGGAGAUCACCAACACUGGUGGAAACAUCGGCUACGCGCCAUCGGUCAAGGGUCGGUUUAGGAUCUCCAGGGACAACGGGCAGAGCUCGGUGACGCUGACCAUGAACAACCUCAAGGACGAGGAUUCCGGAUCCUAUUUCUGUGCCAGGGCUUUUUGUGCCGCGUCAAACUUCUAG